GGGUUAAGUCCCGCAACGAGCGCAACCCUUAAGCUUAGUUGCCAUCAUUAAGUUGGGCACUCUAAGUUGACUGCCGGUGACAAACCGGAGGAAGGUGGGGAUGACGUCAAAUCAUCAUGCCCCUUAUGAUUUGGGCUACACACGUGCUACAAUGGACAAUACAAAGGGCAGCGAAACCGUGAGGUCAAGCAAAUCCCAUAAAGUUGUUCUCAGUUCGGAUUGUAGUCUGCAACUCGACUACAUGAAGCUGGAAUCGCUAGUAAUCGUAGAUCAGCAUGCUACGGUGAAUACGUUCCCGGGUCUUGUACACACCGCCCGUCACACCACGAGAGUUUGUAACACCCGAAGCCGGUGGAGUAACCUUUUAGGAGCUAGCCGUCGAAGGUGGGACAAAUGAUUGGGGUGAAGUCGUAACAAGGUAGCCGUAUCGGAAGGUGCGGCUGGAUCACCUCCUUUCUA
rnacentral:rRNA from 1 species